rnacentral:rRNA from 1 species
ACGGGAGGCAGCGGUGGGGAAUAUUGCACAAUGGGGGAAACCCUGAUGCAGCGACGCCGCGUGAGUGAAGAAGUAUUUCGGUAUGUAAAGCUCUAUCAGCAGGAAAGAAAAUGACGGUACCUGACUAAGAAGCCCCGGCUAACUACGUGCCAGCAGCCGCGGUAAUACGUAGGGGGCAAGCGUUAUCCGGAUUUACUGGGUGUAAAGGGAGCGUAGACGGUAAGGCAAGUCUGAAGUGAAAUGCCAGGGCUCAACCCUGGAACUGCUUUGGAAACUGUCCUACUAGAGUGCAGGGGAGGUAAGUGGAAUUCCUAGUGUAGCGGUGAAAUGCGUAGAUAUUAGGAGGAACACCAGUGGCGAAGGCGGCUUACUGGACUGUAACUGACGUUGAGGCUCGAAAGCGUGGGGAGCAAACAGGAUAGUACCCUGGUA